GACGAACGCUGGCGGCGUGCUUAACACAUGCAAGUCGAACGGAAAGGCCCUGCUUUUGUGGGGUGCUCGAGUGGCGAACGGGUGAGUAACACGUGAGUAACCUGCCCUUGACUUUGGGAUAACUUCAGGAAACUGGGGCUAAUACCGGAUAGGAGCUCCUGCUGCAUGGUGGGGGUUGGAAAGUUUCGGCGGUUGGGGAUGGACUCGCGGCUUAUCAGCUUGUUGGUGGGGUAGUGGCUUACCAAGGCUUUGACGGGUAGCCGGCCUGAGAGGGUGACCGGCCACAUUGGGACUGAGAUACGGCCCAGACUCCUACGGGAGGCAGCAGUGGGGAAUAUUGCACAAUGGGCGGAAGCCGUGUGCAGCAACGCCGCGUGCGGGAUGACGGCCUUCGGGUUGCAAACCGCUUUCGCCUGUGACGAAGCGUGAGUGACGGUAAUGGGUAAAGAAGCACCGGCUAACUACGUG
rnacentral:rRNA from 1 species